GGCAGAAAUGCUGAAAAUUUAAUUGAUUCGUUGUUGGUGUUUCAUCCUUGUGCAGUUCAGCCAUAAAAAAAUGGGCUGUAAACAUGUUGCAGUUGAAGAAUACAGUCCAAAUUGAAAAAAGACCCAAUUAAAUUAAUGUAACAUAAAUCGGUCGCUUUUUUAUGCGGCAAUAAUCGGUGAGGCGUAACAGUGAGAUCGGAAAUCGCAGUAAUGGAAUUAAUACAAAUCAAAUCAAUUCAGCAUCAUUUAUUUUAUUGGAUAAUCAUAUUCUUGUUACUAUCGUCGUCGCCACUGAUGCUGCGAGCGGACCCAGGAGCGCAGAUUUUCAGAGUGGACCCACUAGCGCUGCUGUCGGGCACCCUACGAACAUAUCAACGAGCCGGUUGUGAUAGUGAACUGGUCACAUUAGGAUGCCCCCGGGGCACGAGCAUAUCGAUCGAGGUAGCUCAGUAUGGACGAAGUGGAGAUGCAAAUGAGCAGAAUUUGUGUCCGGCAAGCACUGAGGAUAGCCUGGAAAUCAAUCUUCCAGGGACGGAGAUAGAGAUAAAAGCCCCAGAGAGCUGUACCUGGCCCAACGCA